rnacentral:rRNA from 11 species
GCCAGUCUGUAGGGAGUCGCUGUUGGGAUACCACCCCUGUAGUACUGGGACUCUAACCAGAGGCCUUGAAUCAGGUCUUGGGACACUGUCAGGCGGGCAGUUUGACUGGGGCGGUCGCCUCCCAAAGAGUAACGGAGGCGCGCGAUGGUGGGCUCAGACCGGUCGGAAAUCGGUCGUUGAGUGCAAUGGCAUAAGCCUGCCUGACUGCGAGAGCGACAGUUCGAGCAGAGACGAAAGUCGGUCAUAGUGAUCCGGUGGUCCCGAGUGGAAGGGCCAUCGCUCAACGGAUAAAAGGUACUCCGGGGAUAACAGGCUGAUACCGC